rnacentral:sRNA from 1 species
ACGCGUUCUGGUCGCGAGCGUAAGGCCACUGCGAGAACUCGCGGAGAUUUCCGCAGUGGCCUU